GAUGAACGCUGGCGGCGUGCCUAACACAUGCAAGUCGAACGAAGCACUCUAUUUGAUUUCCUUCGGGACUGAUUAUUUUGUGACUGAGUGGCGUACGGGUGAGUAACGCGUGGGUAACCUGCCUUGUACAGGGGGAUAACAGUUGGAAACGGCUGCUAAUACCGCAUAAGCGCCCGGCAUCGCAUGAUGCAGUUUGAAAAACUGCGGUGGUAUAAGAUGGACCCGCGUUGGAUUAGCUAGUUGGUGAGGUAACGGCCCACCAAGGCGACGAGCCAUAGCCGGCCUGCGAGGGUGACCGGCCACAUUGGGACUGAGACACGGCCCAAACUCCUACGGGAGGCAGCAGUGGGGAAUAUUGCACAAUGGGGGAAAGCCUGAUGCAGCGACGCCGCGUGAGCGAAGAAGUAUUUAGGGAUGUAAAGCUCUAUCAGCAGGGAAGAUAAUGACGGUACCUGAAUAAGAAGCACCGGCUAACUACGUG
rnacentral:rRNA from 1 species